rnacentral:rRNA from 1 species
UUUCAGAGAAUUUGAUCCUGGUUCAGGAUGAACGCUGGCGGUGUGGAUAAGGCAUGCAAGUCGAGCGAGUUAAUUUCGCAAGAAAUUAGCUAGCGGCGAACGAGUUAGUAACACGUAGGAACCUGCCAUCGAGAUGAGCAUAACCAGUCGAAAGAUUGGCUAAUACUCAAUGGCAUGGUAAUCGAUUUUUGUUUACAAAGUCGAAGUAAUUUCUAAUUUCUAAUUUCUAAUUUUUAAUCAAUUUUUAAUGAUUUAAUUUUUAAACAUUAAGUCAUUAAUUAUUCAUUAGAAAUUGAAAAUUUAAAAUUGAAAAUUCCGAGCGAUUUUUGCGAAUAGAAAUCGGUUACCAUUAAAGAUUCGCAAGAAUCGCUCGGUGAAGGGCCUGCGGGCUAUCAGCUAGUUGGUAGGGUAAUGGCCUACCAAGGCAAUGACGGCUAGGGGGCGUGAGAGCGCGUUCCCCAACGUAAGGGACUGAGACACGGCCCUAACUCCUACGGGAGGCAGCAGUCGAGAA